AUUGAACGCUGGCGGCAUGCCUUACACAUGCAAGUCGAACGACAGCAUGGAAGAGCUUGCUCUUCUGAUGGCGAGUGGCGAACGGGUGAGUAAAGCAUCGGAACGUACCGUGUAAUGGGGGAUAACGUAGCGAAAGUUACGCUAAUACCGCAUACGACCUGAGGGUGAAAGCAGGGGAUCGCAAGACCUUGCGUUAUACGAGCGGCCGAUGUCAGAUUAGCUAGUUGGUAGGGUAAAGGCCUACCAAGGCGACGAUCUGUAGCGGGUCUGAGAGGAUGAUCCGCCACACGGGGACUGAGAAACGGCCCAGACUCCUACGGGAGGCAGCAGUGGGGAAUUUUGGACAAUGGGGGCAACCCUGAUCCAGCCAUGCCGCGUGAGGGAAGAAGGCCUUCGGGUUGUAAAGCUCUUUCGGCCGGGAAGAAAUCGCACAGGCUAAUACUCUGUGUGGAUGACGGUACCGGCAUAAGAAGCACCGGCUAACUACGUGCCAGCAGCCGCGGUAA
rnacentral:rRNA from 1 species